rnacentral:rRNA from 1 species
GACGAACGCUGGCGGCGUGCCUAAUACAUGCAAGUAGAACGCUGAAGGAGGAGCUUGCUUCUCUGGAUGAGUUGCGAACGGGUGAGUAACGCGUAGGUAACCUGCCUGGUAGCGGGGGAUAACUAUUGGAAACGAUAGCUAAUACCGCAUAAUAGUAGAUGUUGCAUGACAUUUGCUUAAAAGGUGCAAUUGCAUCACUGCCAGAUGGACCUGCGUUGUAUUAGCUAGUUGGUGGGGUAACGGCUCACCAAGGCGACGAUACAUAGCCGACCUGAGAGGGUGAUCGGCCACACUGGGACUGAGACACGGCCCAGACUCCUACGGGAGGCAGCAGUAGGGAAUCUUCGGCAAUGGACGGAAGUCUGACCGAGCAACGCCGCGUGAGUGAAGAAGGUUUUCGGAUCGUAAAGCUCUGUUGUAAGAGAAGAACGAGUGUGAGAGUGGAAAGUUCACACUGUGACGGGAUCUUACCAGAAAGGGACGGCGAACUACGU